UACGUAGGGUGCAAGCGUUAAUCGGAAUUACUGGGCGUAAAGCGUGCGCAGGCGGUCCGUUAAGACAGAUGUGAAAUCCCCGGGCUUAACCUGGGAACUGCAUUUGUGACUGGCGGACUCGAGUAUGGCAGAGGGGGGUGGAAUUCCACGGUGUAGCAGUGAAAUGCGUAGAGAUGUGGAGGAAUACCGAUGGCGAAGGCAGCCCCCUGGGAUAACACUGACGCUCAUGCACGAAAGCGUGGGGAGCAAACAGG
rnacentral:rRNA from 1 species